rnacentral:rRNA from 1 species
UACGUACUGUGCGAACGUUAUUCGGAAUCACUGGGCUUAAAGGGUGCGUAGGCGGCCAAUUAAGUAGGGUGUGAAAGGCUUCGGCUCAACCGGAGCAUUGCGCUCUAGACUGCUUGGCUCGAGUUGAGAUAGGGGUGUGCGGGAACUUCCAGUGGAGCGGUGAAAUGUGUUGAUAUUGGAAGGAACGCCGGUGGCGAAAGCGGCACACUGGGUCUAACUGACGCUGAGGCACGAAAGCCAGGGGAGUGAACGGG